rnacentral:tRNA from 1 species
GCCCAGGUAGCUCAGUCGGUAGAGCAGAGGACUGAAAAUCCUCGUGUC